UACGAAGGGGGCAAGCGUUGUCCGGAAUUAUUGGGUUUAAAGGGUGCGUAGGCGGCCUGAUAAGUUAGUGGUGAAAGCGUGGGGCUUAACGGUAUAAUCGCCAUUAAUACUGUCGGGCUUGAGUAAGUGUGAGGGAGGUGGAAUGCGUGGUGUAGCGGUGAAAUGCGUAGAUAUCACGCAGAACGCCGGUUGCGAAGGCAGUUUUCUGGCACUUAACUGACGCUGAGGCGCGAAAGCGUGGGUAGCGAACAGG
rnacentral:rRNA from 1 species